UCCUACGGGAUGCAGCAGUGGGGAAUAUUGCACAAUGGGCGCAAGCCUGAUGCAGCCAUGCCGCGUGUAUGAAGAAGGCCUUCGGGUUGUAAAGUACUUUCAGCGAGGAGGAAGGCGAUAAGGUUAAUAACCUAGGAUGACGAU
rnacentral:rRNA from 1 species